GGGUGAGUAACACGUGGAUAACCUACCUAUAAGACUGGGAUAACUUUGGGAAACCGGAGCUAAUACCGGAUAAUAUUUUGAACCGCAUGGUUCAAAAGUGAAAGACGGUCUUGCUGUCACUUAUAGAUGGAUCCGCGCUGCAUUAGCUAGUUGGUAAGGUAACGGCUUACCAAGGCAACGAUGCAUAGCCGACCUGAGAGGGUGAUCGGCCACACUGGAACUGAGACACGGUCCAG
rnacentral:rRNA from 1 species